rnacentral:rRNA from 1 species
CCUACGGGCGGCAGCAGUGAGGAAUAUUGGUCAAUGGGAGAGAUCCUGAACCAGCCAAGCCGCGUGAGGGAAGACGGCCCUAUGGGUUGUAAACCUCUUUUGUCGGAGAACAAAACCCGGGACGUGUCCCGGACUGCGUGUAUCCGAAGAAAAAGCAUCGGCUAACUCCGUGCCAGCAGCCGCGGUAAUACGGAGGAUCCGAGCGUUAUCCGGAUUUAUUGGGUUUAAAGGGAGCGUAGGUGGAUUGUUAAGUCAGUUGUGAAAGUUUGCGGCUCAACCGUAAAAUUGCAGUUGAAACUGGCAGUCUUGAGUACAGUAGAGGUGGGCGGAAUUCGUGGUGUAGCGGUGAAAUGCAUAGAUAUCACGCAGAACUCCGAUUGCGAAGGCAGCGUACCGGCGCCCAACUGACGCUGAAGCACGAAGGCGUGGGUAUCGAACAGGAUUAGAUACCCGAGUAGUC